rnacentral:lncRNA from 1 species
UUGAUGAUCCUAACACAUUUGCUGCAAGAAUCCACAGAAUGUUGAAACUUGGUCUUAGCAUUGAUGAGGAAGAAAAUGAAGGAGAUGACGCAGACAUGCCUGCUUUAGAGGAAGAUGCUACUGAAGAGAGCAAAAUGGAGGAGGUAGACUAAGCCCAUCCUCUGUAUCAUCCAUCAUCCAAUUUCUUUAACCGUUCAUCGUGUUGAUAUUGGGAUGUCUGUGAAUGUAUUUUGAGGAAAGUAAAUGUCUUGCGUCCAGUCAUUGAUCAGCGUCAAUGUUGGUUUUUGUGUCUCACUUCCUGUUUUACAUAAUCUGUUGUAAUCAAGGACAAAUGUAUGUGCUAAAGCGUGUUACUCUCCUGUUUUACAUAAUCUGUUGUAAUCAAGGACAAAUUUAAGUGCUAAAGCGUGUUACUCCAAUGUAUAAACAGAUCUUUUUUGUUGGUCAGCAUCUUCU